rnacentral:rRNA from 1 species
GACAGAGGUGCCGAGCGUUAGGCGGAAUCACUGGGCUUAAAGCGUGUGUAGGCGGGCCGUUAAGUGUCUUGUGAAAUCCCCCGGCUCAACCGGGGAAUUGCUGGGCAUACUGGCGGUCUUGAGCAAUCUAGGGGCAGAUGGAACAAGUGGUGGAGCGGUGAAAUGCGUAGAUAUCAGGAGGAACACCGGUGGCGAAGGCGGGUCUCUGGGCCGAUACUGACGCUGAGGAGCGAAAGCGUGGGGAGCGAACAGG